rnacentral:rRNA from 1 species
GACGAACGCUGGCGGCGUGCUUAACACAUGCAAGUCGAACGGAAAGGCCCUGCUUUUGUGGGGUGCUCGAGUGGCGAACGGGUGAGUAACACGUGAGUAACCUGCCCUUGACUUUGGGAUAACUUCAGGAAACUGGGGCUAAUACCGGAUAGGAGCUCCUGCUGCAUGGUGGGGGUUGGAAAGUUUCGGCGGUUGGGGAUGGACUCGCGGCUUAUCAGCUUGUUGGUGGGGUAGUGGCUUACCAAGGCUUUGACGGGUAGCCGGCCUGAGAGGGUGACCGGCCACAUUGGGCCGGAGAUGCGACCCGGACUCCAAUGGGAGGCGGCGGAGGAGAGGAUUACACAGGGGGCGGGACGCAGGUGCGACAACGCCACGUGGGGGGUGAGAGGCUUCGGGUAGUGAUCCACUUUCGCCUGUUCCGAAGCGUGAGUGACGGUAAUGGGUGAAGAAGCACCGGCUAACUACGUG